rnacentral:rRNA from 1 species
GACGAACGCUGGCGGUGUGCUUAACACAUGCAAGUCGAACGGUAAGGCCCUUUCGGGGGUACACGAGUGGCGCACGGGUGAGUAACACGUGAGUAACCUGCCCUCAUCUCUGGGAUAACAGUCGGAAACGGUUGCUAAUACUGGAUAUGAGCUUGCAAGGCAUCUUGUGGGUUGGAAAGAUUUUUUUUGGUUGGGGAUGGACUCGCGGCCUAUCAGCUUGUUGGUGAGGUAGUGGCUCACCAAGGCUUCGACGGGUAGCCGGCCCGAGAGGGCGACCGGCCACAUUGGGACUGAGAUACGGCCCAAACUCCUACGGGAGGCAGCAGUGGGGAAUAUUGCACAAUGGACGGAAGUCUGAUGCAGCAACGCCGCGUGCGGGAUGACGGCCUUCGGGUUGUAAACCGCUUUCAAUUGUGACGAAGCUUUUUUGUGACGGUAGCAGUAGAAGAAGCACCGGCUAACUACGUG